rnacentral:rRNA from 1 species
UACGGAGGAUGCGAGCGUUAUCCGGAUUUAUUGGGUUUAAAGGGUGCGUAGGCGGGCUUUUAAGUCAGCGGUAAAAAUUCGGGGCUCAACCCCGUCCGGCCGUUGAAACUGGGGGCCUUGAGUGGGCGAGAAGAAGGCGGAAUGCGUGGUGUAGCGGUGAAAUGCAUAGAUAUCGCGCAGAACUCCGAUUGCGAAGGCAGCGUACCGGCGCCCAACUGACGCUGAAGCACGAAGGCGUGGGUAUCGAACAGG